UUGUGCCACAUCUGGAUCCAUGCCAAUUUCUUCAUGCCUAAUUGGAUUUGGAUUGUAAUUUUUGGCAUCAUGAGCGAGGAUCCAAUAAGGGUAGUCGGCUAUAGAUGAUGAGUCAUAAGAUUAUCUCUUGCCUAAUUCGAAUGCGAUCCGAAUUAGAGUUAAGAUGCAGACUAGGAAAGAGAUUUUUUGUAUAUGAUAUAUUAUUGAAGUCAUAUUUUUUUUUAUUUUUUUUAGAAAUUCUUUGGUGUGUGAGACUC
rnacentral:lncRNA from 1 species